AGUCACUGACAUUAGAUACCCCCGUAGUCCAGGGUGUAAACGCUGCAGACUUGGUGUUGGGAACCCUUCGGGGGUGCUCAGUGCCGGAGAGAAGUUGUUAAGUCUGCUACUUGGGGAGUACGUCCGCAAAGGAUGAAACUUAAGGAAUUGGCGGGGGAGCACCGCAACGGGAGGAGCGUGCGGUUUAAUUGGAUUCAACGCCGAAAAACUCACCAGCAGCGACUGUUACAUGAAAGUCAGGUUGAUGACCUUACUAGAUUUUCAG
rnacentral:rRNA from 1 species